GUGGCUCAGUGGUAGAGCACUUGCCUUGCAUGCAAGAGGCCCUGGGUUCGAUUCCUCAGC
rnacentral:tRNA from 1 species